rnacentral:rRNA from 1 species
AUGCCGCAGGCGCAGGCUAGGGCGGUCCUGCCGGUGGUGCUCCUCGGCUGCGGCGGCGUCGGUCGCCACCUCCUCCGCCACAUCGUCUCCUGCAGGUCUCUCCACGCCAACCAGGGCGUCGCCAUCCGGGUGGUGGGCGUUGCCGACAGCUCCUCGCUGCUCGUCGCAGACGACGUCCGCGCCAGCGGCCUCGAUGACGCGCUCCUCAACGACCUCUGCUCCGCCAAGUCCGCCGGCUCGCCCCUGUCCUCGCUGCUCGCUCGCGGGCACUGUCAGGUGUUCAACAAGCCGGAGGCAAUGGGGAAAGUCAUCGAUGCUGCUACCAUGCUUGGAAGAACAACCGGUCUGGUGAUAGUUGAUUGUUCUGCAACUUAUGACACUGUUGGUGUGCUGAAGGAUGCCGUGGAUCAUGGAUGCUGUGUUGUUUUGGCAAACAAAAAACCUCUUACAUGUGCUUAUGAGGAUUUUAAAAAGUUGACGUCCCACUUCCGCCAGAUAAGAUUUGAAUCUACUGUUGGAGCAGGUUUGCCUGUAAUAGCUUCUGUAACCCGCAUUAUUGCAUCUGGAGAUCCAGUUUCCCGAAUCGUUGGCAGUCUGAGUGGUACACUUGGCUAUGUGAUGAGUGAGCUGGAGGAUGGAAAUUUUUUUAGUGAAGUUGUGAAAACUGCCAAGGCUCUUGGUUAUACAGAACCAGAUCCACGUGAUGAUCUCAGUGGGAUGGAUGUGGCUAGAAAGGCGUUGAUCCUAGCUAGGCUUCUCGGGCAGCAGAUCAGCAUGGAGAAUAUCAAUGUUGAGAGUUUAUAUCCGAGUGAGUUAGGACCUGAGGUUAUGUCCACAACGGAUUUCCUUGAGAGUGGGUUGGCAAAACUUGAUGAGACGAUUGAAGAAAAGGUCAAGGCAGCAUCUUUGAGGGGAAAUGUUCUGCGCUAUGUUUGUGUCAUUGGAAAGACAGGGUGCCAAGUGGGCCUUCAAGAGGUCCCAAAAGAUUCUGCACUGGGGAGGUUGAGGGGAAGUGACAAUGUGGUGGAGAUAUACAGCAGAUGCUACGAGAGCUCCCCGCUGGUGAUCCAGGGUGCAGGAGCCGGGAACGACACCACCGCCGCAGGAGUUCUCGCUGAUAUAAUCGAUCUCCAAGAUCUUUUCCAGGCAAGACCGUGA